CCCUUAGAUGUUCUGGGCCGCACGCGUGCUACACUGAGUGGAUCAGCGGGUCAGGUUGCGCGAAAGUGUUUCCUAAUCUUUAAAUCCGCUCGUGAUGGGGAUUGACGGUUGCAAUUUUCCGUCAUGAACGAGGAAUACCUUGUAAGCGCGGGUCAUCAUCCCGCGCUGAAUACGUCCCUGCCCUUUGUACACACCGCCCGUCGCUCCUACCGAUUGAGUGGUCCGGUGAGGCUUUGGGAUCUGAGCGGAAAGAGCGUUUCGCUGUUUCUGCCCGGAAAACUCAGUCGAACCUUAUCAUUUAGAGGAAGGAGAGGUCGUAACA
rnacentral:rRNA from 1 species